rnacentral:rRNA from 1 species
AAGGUACGCCGGGGAUAACAGGCUUAUCGGAGCCAAGAGUUCACAUCGACGCUCCGGUUUGGCACCUCGAUGUCGGUUCAUCGCAUCCUGGGGGUGUAGAAGCUCCCAAGGGUUAGGCUGUUCGCCUAUUAAAGCGGUACGUGAACUGGGUUCAGAACGUCGCGAGACAGUUCGGUCUCUAUCUGUGGUGGGCGUAGGACAUUUGAAGGGGCUUGGCCGUAGUACGAGAGGACCCGGCUGAACAGACCUCUUGUGAUCCUGUUGUCACGCCAGUGGCACCGCAGGGUAGCGAAGUCUGGUCAGGAUAAGCGCUGAAUGCAUAUAAGCGCGAAACCUUCCCUAAGAUGAGAUGUCCCAAGCGAAAGCUAAGAAGGGCCCAGGAAGACGACCUGGUUGAUAGGGCAGAUGUGGAAGCGUGGUAACACGUUGAGCUGACUGCUACUAAUAGCCCG